GUGCUGAGUUUCAUUUUCACUUCACUGAGCCUCAUGGCUUCCUGGUCUCUGAGCAUCCCACAGCAGCUCCUUCUCACUUCACAUGUGUGUAUCUUCCUUUGCCUUUGACUGUCUACGAGAGCUUUACAAUUCGUGUGGUUGUUGAUCUGUGGUGGGCUUUACUGUUCUGCCCUUUCAUGUGCCCGAGGCUGAGCUGCCAGGAUUCCUCUUGGUCUUGCUCUCCAUGCUUCUCACAGGGUCAGUGACAACAGGGAGGCAGCCACCUCCCUGAAGCCCACUUCCAGGGCCCAUUCUGGCCUGGAAAGGAGGGACACCUGGAGGACUCUCUUUCCAGGUUACCCCGUGGGUGACCACCUCUUUCCCUGGGUACCAGUGCAGCUUCCUGGAUUACAUAUGGGAGCCUGGCAGAACUUAGCCACAUGAGAAAGAGAUUCAUGGAACACACUGGGAGAAGGCAAGCCGCCCCUUCCCCACCCCACCCAGCCACAUCACGUGCUGGAUACCAGACCCUUACCUAGGGGCAGAGCAGAACCCUCCAGUUUGAGCCUGUGGCCCAGACCUCCUGAAAUGAUCCCAAGUCCCUCGUGAAAAGGCUCCAGAAAGUGAGGGACUAGGGCACCCAGAGGCAAGGAAAGGAACAGACAUGGCCUAGGGGCCUGCAGGAGGAGAGCAGUACUGGGAAGGGUUUGGGCCCCCCAGGGCUGUGCCACCAAAUUCACAUGAUCCCAGAGUACCGAGACUUGGACCACCAAGGUCUCUAGGCAGCAUCUAAGCUGGUCAUCAAGAUCUUCUGAGAUACAGCCUAUCCCCAGGGGCACGUUUCAGAACCAGGGUGAUGGAAUCCUAGCAACCACCUCUCCCAGGGGGGAAGUAGUCAAGAGGAGGCUACUACGGUCCUCAGGUAACCACCACAGCCAGAGGCUGGUGGCAUCAGGCCCAGCUGAGGAUGGAUGAGGUCAGGAAUGGGCAAAGCGCUGCAGAGGAGGCUGUGGCCCUGUGAAUGGCCAUGGCCCAGAUUGGCCCUGGGGCCUGAGUAGGUGGCCCUAGGCCAGCUCUGGCACAGCACACUCUGUCCCUCUUUGCCUAGCCCAAAGAACAACUCAAUCUGCUCCCAAGCAGGGGGUGGGAGUGGGUGCAGAAUUGUGGCCAACGGACCAGGACAAGUGUGGGUGGAUUCUGGGGUGGCCACUUAUGCUGGGCACACAGCGGAUCCUGACAGGCCGCUGAUACCCAGGACGCCACUGCCUAGGAUCGGCCUCCUCCACCCAGAUGGAGCUCCUGUGGAUAGGUCUCAUCUUGCUGGAGAUGAUGCAAACCCAGGCCCAAGGACCAAGAAGGCAUGGGGGGCUCCCUCAAGUCCCACACCCCAAUUUGCCUUUUCACAAGAUCUGUCUCCUGCCCAGUCAGGGGAAGGAGAGAGUGACUGUGAACUCAGGCCCAGCAGGCCCUGUUCCCAGGGGUAGGAGCCUGGAACGGAGAGCUCAGCCCAAUGCCAGCCCUACAUAGACUUCAUAUUCUCCUGUGGCCCUCGGGACCCUCCAGCCCAGAAGACCACCCAUCCGACUUGGCUGACCAUGGCAGACUCGGCCCCCACCACAUCCCAGCGAGACUUGUGCCCCUCCUCACAGGCGUUCAGCCUCAUCCGCCCCCAGCACAAAUAAACACCUGUCACA